rnacentral:rRNA from 1 species
GUGCCAGCAGCCGCGGUAAYACCAGCUCCACUAGCGUAUAUUAAAGUUGUUGCAGUUAAAAAGCUCGUAGUUGGAUAUCUGUCAUGACGGGCCUGGCCCAAACAAACUUCUGAUGAAGUUGAUGUGUGCCGGUGUUAUGGCGUCAGAUGCGCCGUUCGUCGAUUCGCCGCCGGUGUGCCUUUUUUGGGCCGUCGGUUGGUUGCAUUGUCGGACUUCAGUGCUCUGUGCGUUCGCUCGUCGGACAUCCUUCGGGAGAACUGUCCUGCCAUUCGUUUGGUUGGGGCAAGGAUCCUGAUCGUUUACUUUGAAAAAAUUAGAGUGUUUCACGCAGGCUUUAUCGCCGCGAAUAUAUUAGCAUGGAAUAAUAAGAUAGGACUUCGGCACCACUGGUGAUUGCUCGGUAGUUUGCUCGAUUGUGCUAUGGGUCGGUUGGGUUUCGUGCUCGGUCGGCUUUCAGUCGUGCGUGACCGUCGGGAUCAAACAGUUGCUUGUUUCUAUUUUGUUGGUUUCUAGAGCUGAAGUAAUUGAUUGAUAGGGAUAGUUGGGGGUGCUAAUAUAGCUUUGGCCAG